CGUGGAGACAGGUGGUGCAUGGCUGUCGUCAGCUCGUGUCGUGAGAUGUUGGGUUAAGUCCCGCAACGAGCGCAACCCUCACCUCUUGUUGCCAUCAGAUCAUGCUGGGCACUCUAGAGGAACUGCCCCGGUCAACGGGGAGGAAGGCGGGGAUGACGUCAAGUCAUCAUGCCCCUUACGUCCUGGGCUACACACGUGCUACAAUGGCCGGUACAAAGGGAUGCCACACCGCGAGGUAGAGCUAAACCCAAAAAGCCGGUCUAAGUUCAGAUUGGAGUCUGCAACUCGACUCCAUGAAGGAGGAAUCGCUAGUAAUCGCGUAUCAGCACGACGCGGUGAAUACGUUCCCGGGCCUUGUACACACCGCCCGUCACACCACGAAAGCCUGCUGUACUCGAAGUCGCUGAG
rnacentral:rRNA from 1 species